CCUGAGAAACAUAACAGGGUCUUUGGCUGUUCCAUUUACUUCAGUCGGUCUCUAUUGUUCUGCCAUUUAGUGCAGGGAGAGGGCAGAGCCUGUCUGAUGCAAACAACUGCUGCUGGAAACAGAGGCUGAACUAGACAGGAGAUGUGCCAUGAACUGGAUCAACCUUCAGGUGGUACGGCCCUGGGAGAGUUAGGGCUCGCUGUCUGGAGCGCCGUGCCAGACUGGAAAGAUGACAAAACAAAGAUCUGAUUCAUUUCUUUCAGCUCCUCAUCCUCUGAUGGAGAAGGAUGAGGAGGAGCAGGAAGUCAAAGACAGAGAUGCUGGUGACAUCAGCAGCCCGCCAGCUUUAUCUUUGAGUGACAGACUGAGCUCUGAAACAUGUAUGAGAGCAAACCCACCUGUCUAUCACUACACCUGCCAGAAACCAGCUCCAUCUAUCCACAGAGGAGUGUCAGCAGCGAGGAUGUCGAGGCCUCGUCGAGUUUGGCAGCAGAAUAUCUGUAUCCUUCUUUUCCUUCUAGAAGCUGCCGGCUGUCAGCACUGCAGACCGGUUGGCUCUGCUGGCUGUCACCCAUGUUCUGUACAGGAAACGAUCACUGACAGCUGUCAAACCCCUCCUCGUCCUCCUCUUCAUCCUCUUCUCUGCCAGCUGAUCCUGGCCUGACACCGGCCAUGAUGGCAGCUCGGUUACACCUCAUCCAUAAGGCAACACGCUGCUGCUAUUGCACCUAACUUGUGUGCAAAACGCAAGAGUGUUUUAUUCCCUGAUGACGCCCACAGAGUGUAUAGUAUUCUUGGAGGAACUGGGUCAGAGUAUAAAUGCUAAAAAACUGCAGAUUCAGGUGAAGGAGAACCGUCAGCAGUUUGUGCAUGUCAGCAGUGAUAAGGAGGCAUCAGAAUUCAGGGCUGAGGUGUCACCUGUGGGGGAAACUCUCUGCUGUCACCUGCUGCCAACCAUCUCUCAUCACCUCUCACCAGGUUCUGUCUCCACUGGCACUGGUGGUGGCAGGGGGUGAGGUAGAAUCCUGUGGCUGACGGCUUUGUCACAGCAGGAAGUGGCCAGAGGGGGGUUUGACUGUUACGUUCACAUGGACUCUAAACUAACUGCUCAGCAGUUGCAUCAGGUUAUUGGAUGACAUAGUAGUAAGAGCUAAAAGGCCUGGUUGUAAAGUGUUGAAGGUACUUUGCAAGAAUUUCUUUGCUCAUGUUGAGGUAAAAAUAACUCGUUAUAAAAGAAAACAAAUUAAAGUUUAGCCGAAUAAUGUGCCAUCGUUCUCAGUGUGAGUAGCA